rnacentral:misc_RNA from 1 species
GACCAAAGCAACUGAGAUGAAAUUAGGGAGCCAGCAUGUCUCUUUUAGAAUGGUAAUAGUGGGCGGCUAGUUGAUAGUGGAGGAAAUAGGAAUAGGCCUGCACUCACAGUUUGAGUGAGAAUACAAAGUAACGAGGACCAUACUCACAGUUUGAGUGAGAAUACUAAGUAAUGGGGACCAUAAUAGAGAGAGAAGUUUGGGAGCUUGUAGACUCCACGCUGCCCCUUACUGUGAUUAGAUCCUCAACCUCCAGUUGUUGUCUAAAGGAAGAAAGUGCCAUCAUGAAAUUAUUCAUCAUCUCUUUUUGUGCAAGAAGCAUCAUAUACAUAUAAUACCCAAAC